CCCCUUCGCCGCCCCCUCUCCAGCCUAGAUCCCGGCCAACUCCGGCGAUCCCCCUGCACCUCCGACCACCACCCCCGAACCCCUCCUCCUCCCCUCUCAACUCCACCACGUGGAACCACCAAAUUUCACCCCAACAGAAACCCUAGCCUGAGAUCUCGAGUGUAUAGAGAGGAGUAGAGGUCAAGCUCAGGUCUUUUCCGCCCAUGGCGACGGCGGCACCUCGGAGUCGCGUGGAGGAGGGAAGCAUGGUGGCCAGAUGAAUCGCGCUGGGCAGAUGCGGCCAUCCAGCAAGCGGCGGCCUUCACCGAUGCCGCGUUAUUGGGUACUGCGUGGCCGGUCGGUCACCGAGUCCGGGUGCCACGGACGUCUCUAGCGCUGUCCGGCCCUCCUCCCCGUUCUUCUUCAAUUCCUGGCCGGCAUACACCGACAAAGACGCCUGGAUGGUUCCACGUUCUGUUCCUCCCCGUGUAUUUAUUGCAAUAAAUCGAAUGUUUCUGCCAUUUAGCAUUGUUUGGUAUCUAGAUUGAUACUAGUACUGAAGCAAGCAAUUUUAUUUGUGAGUAUUCAUCUAAUUCCACAAUCUGGUUAUAAAGACGAAAGACCUCACUUGGUGAAGUGCAGUUAUCUUUGUUGGUUAUUGACUAAAUUGAGACAACUGUAAAUAUUCUAUAUGAUCACAGUACCGCCUUUUACCUUCUAUUUUCAUAUAUAUCAUGACAUAAUGCCUUGGUACUAUAAUCUGCCCUUAUUUAUUACUUUUUUGUUGUUGUCAUGUUUGUGUGCAUGUUUGAGCGGCACUUGAAUGCAAUAAAUCUCUGAUUGGAUAUUAGACUCUCAAAUUUCAAUAGUGGCACUUAAAUUUCUGUUGUCAAAGUAACCUGCAAGUUGAUUUUUUAUAUCCACGCAACAAAUAUGACGUUUGUCUUGUGAUUAUAUUACAUAUAGCACUGGCUUUGCUAGCACUUUCUUUACCAUAGUAUCUAGAUGCCCUGAUAUUUUUUUGUAGAGUGUAAGAUGAGUUAGUGAGUAAUUCGAGUUUAACACAAGCAUGGAAUUUUACAUCAGAUAAUCGAUUUGUUACAGUAUUGCAUAUAUCUGAGAUAACAUGUGCAACUUCCAUCGUUUGUAACAAUUAUUUACCACUAAUAAAUCUGACCUCCAUUUUCUCAUUUUGUUAAGUUAAUUAGCAGCACAAUAACUUGGACAGUAGUAAUUGUUUCCUCUCAACUGUGUGCUUUCAAUUGUUAAUUUUCCCAGAGAUAUGCUUGUUAUACAAAUUAUAAUAUACUGUCUUUGUAAAUAAUAGCUCACUUUUGGUGUUCUAGUAAACUUCUAGAGGAUGUUUUUAAUUUUCGUGUUCCUGAUGCUAUGUGCAGACAAAGGCCCACAAGGAUUUUUCUAAUGUUAUCAUGACGUAGGUAGGUUUGCAUAGGCUCAGCACAAAGAGAAGCGCUAGCUUGUCUGUGAGAAUAUGAUGACAACCAUGGCACCGGUUUCUCAGUGUUGAGCUCACUGUGCUGCAACUGAAGCAACAAUCUUCUCUGGAUUAGUUAAGUCAUCUCUCUAUCCCAUUCUCCUCUCCGAUGCUUGGUUCAUGGGACAUGAUGCCAUGCAUUAUAUUUUGAUCCAAGUCCAAAUGUGCUAUGGAAGCUUUGGAUGUUAUUUUCUGGUUACUGCUAUUUGUUGUGUUGUACCUGUUGCUUUAUUUUCGACUUUAUGUCAAGAUAUGAUCUGUGUAAAAUGGAAAAUAAUGUACUCCUACUCCAUUUCUCUCUUUCUGAAUUUAUUGGCUGCAUGAUGUUAUCCUGCGAUAGUAUCUAGAUGAGUGAUACUCUUUUAUUUCCCUUGUGGUCAUGCUCUUAUUUCACUUCACUGAACUGUGAAACUGUUAUUCUGGCCAGUAUCUGUUUCUUGAAUGGUUUUGAUUGUUGGCUUGACCUUCGGAUGGUUGUUGUUGUGCAGGAUGGAUGGACGAGCCUAUGACAGAUGCUUGUUCUUGGACUGGUGGUGGUACUGUGGUAGGUAGCCAGCCGCUGCUAAGCGACGCCGGAGGGAAUGGUGCAUAUGGGGAGAAGUUGGCAUGUUGCCAUAGUGUUGGUGGACGGGAGAGGUCCUGAUGAAGCAGCCGCAAAAAGGGGACCUGGAGGUUGUGAGCUGAGUCUGGCUGGCCGGAAGGACGUUCUUUAGUUCUUGGUGAUUCUACCGAUGAUGGAUGUUGUCUGCUGUAGGGAUAUCUUCAUGCGGUGGGUUUAUAUUUUUGUAACAUUCAGUUGCAUCCUCGUGUCUUGUACAUGUCAACUGUAUUUUAUUUUGUCUCUCUUCAAAAUAAUUUCAUGUA